CAGUGCAUUUGAAAACUCCCCUUGCACCAGGGCUGACUGUAGCUGGGGGAAGACAUUUUACUCAUUUGCUCUUUCCUUUCAUACAGUCAGCUGGUCCCUCUUCUCAGGUGUAGAUCACCUAUUAUAAUUUUACCUAAUUUUGAUACUCUGAUAAGGAAAGUCCCAGGACUUAUCAGCUGGGAUAGGCCUCACUUACAAGACAGCUCUGUUCAGUAUUUGGAAGAAAGAAAGCCUGACAGGUUUCUUCGGAAAAGUGGCCAUCCAUGGAAUGAAUGAAAUGUUCUCUUUCUAUUCCAGGGAUUGCAGUGGCAAAGCUAGGCUAGGUCUUGGAGGCUGGUGUAAGGCGAUGUGGGUGAAGGCAGGAGGCUGAUGGAAAGACUGGGGGGAAGAAAAGCCGAAAUGGAUUCACGGUGCCUUGGAUGAAGGACGAGAGGGGAACUGCAAGCUCCUUCAACUGGUUCUGUCCGGUGAGAAGUGAUCAAGCUUGGGCUGACAAGAGGCUCAGGGAGCCCUCACGUUCUUUCGCUUUUUUACCUGCCAAUCAAACUGCUACAAGACAACACCCUGAUCUGGCAUGGACAUAUCCAACUUAGAAAUAAUGUUUCAUUCAAGAUAAGGCUCGUGGCUUAGGAGAUUGUGACCUGGCUUGCAUCAUUCUAAGACUUCUAUCGUCUGUUUUCAAAACCCAAGGAGGACCUCCUUUUCUGUGUGAUAGUUCCUCAUGCUUUGCCAGCCACUGGGUCUUUAAGGAAGCUUGCCAAGAGUUCCCGGCUGGGAAGGACAGUUCGAGUUCAUCAUAGACAAUGAGCUGGCACCACAGUUUAAGUGACUCACCAACCUGGUUGCCCACUUCAAAAUGUCAAGAACCACACUAUCUAAUUGAAAGAACUGUGUUUUAGCAAAGUGUAAUUGGAUCGCCUGGCAAGAUCAUCUCAAACUAUGUCUCUGACCUUGCCUUUCAGUGGCUAUUUUGAGCACAAGAGGAGAAAGGAAAUGAUUCCUGAAUUAUAUCUUGUUUUUAAAAAUUAAGAUUAAUUAAUACUUGGUUUUAUGUUCAUUCCAUUGUAGGAACUUAGUGAUUAUUACAAAACAGUCAAAAUAGGUCAUAGCAAAAUGAACGUUUAAGAUUAGGUUAAAACAUUCCUCUGAAAUUUUAGUAUUCACUUUUGAAGUGUCAAUUACUAUAUUUCUGUAAUUUCUCAUUUUUUUCUUGGCUUAGAGUCAAGAUGAAAAAUGAUAUUUGAAUCAAAGACAUUGUUUUGUUAUAUAGCCACUCCUUUCUAAAAUGCAAAUCCACCCUCCCCUCACCAAUGCUUUAUUCUUUGUGCGCGCACACACACACACACACACACACACACACACACACACACACAGACAUACACAGAACCAGCACCCAAAUGGUAGAGGAGGUCCUUCCAAGACUUCUAGGACCUGGAUCAUGUAAGCAGUAGAUGAGAAAAUGAAGUAAGAGAUAUAGAGUAAUAACAAUAAAAGUCAAUGAUUUCAUUUUACAAAAAAGUCAUUGUGUAGUACUCAGAUAUUUUUAAGAGCAAGUAUUAUUAUGACUAAAGUAUAUUAUACUUCUAAAUUAUUAUGAUUCUCAUCUAAUUUCAAGCCACACAUAGGCGCCAUUUGAAAGCAUUUUGUGUUACAACCUAUCAACAAAAAUCAACUAAUAGUUUUAUAACGUGCAUAGGUUU
rnacentral:lncRNA from 1 species